CCGUUGCUGAACCUGCGGAAGGAUACUUAACGCGCAGAUGUCGAAGUCGGCCCCCGAAGCUCUUCCGUCUCCCCCCCGGGCCUCCCGGGGAGGUUGCGGGCGGCGAGGGGUGCCUCCGGCCGCACGCCCAUUCUUGUCUACUGACCCGGUUGCCUCGGCGGGCCGCGCCUGCUGUGCUACAGCGGCCGUUCGGGGGGGACGCCUGAGGGGGACUCUUGUUUCCUAGGCCACGCCCCGGGCAGCGCUCGCCGGAGGAUUACUCUGGAAAACACACUCUUGAAAGAACAUACCGUCUGAGCGAGCAACGCAAAUCAGUUAAAACUUUCAACAACGGAUCUCUUGGUUCCCGGCAUCGAUUUAUUUGAACGCAGACAA
rnacentral:misc_RNA from 1 species